ensembl:lncRNA
UUGUCUUUGGGAGCCUUUUAAUAAUGUGGCCAGCUUAUCAUGACAAGCGUGUAUGAGAAGUAAAAUGCAUUCUGCACACGACAGAUGAUGAACUACCCGAAAUAUCUUGUGAGAAGCUCUGGCAGGAACAACAGGGUGUCUGGAUUCUUAAGCACAGCGCAUUCAGCAGCCAGACCCAGAAAAUCAGAGGCAGCGUCGGGAAGCUACUGCGCGUUUGUAAGGAGUCCGGCUGUCCACACAAGGGCGCUAUUUUGGGACUCGGGCUUCUCAGCCUGUGACCUGCUGAAACCAUUCAUGCCGGCAUCGUCCCUAUUGGAAACUCUUUGAAGUUAUUUUCGAAAUGAGAAUCGACUCAAUCUAUUCCACUACAGUUUCAUACAAAGCAUAUUUUUUCUCAUUUCAAAAUAAUUUCAGACUUCCAAAAAGUUCCAAAAAUAGGACGGUGUGUAUACUCGGUUCCCCAAAUAACAUCUUACAUAACACUGGGUGAGCGCUGGCAGUCACUUCGCAGAAGGCCCCUCGGUCUGGGUCUGUGUCUGAUGUCUCCUCGGGAUUACAUUCAGGUCAUGCAGUUGGGCAAGAGAAACAGAGGUGACACCGUGCUCUCAGUGAGGUCACCAGGUCGCUGUUGCCUGUGUGGCUCGCUCCCGGCAGUGACUGCUGGGUUAGGGGGGCUUCCGCUGCUCUGCUGUGAUGUGACCACUGUCUCCUUGGAGGGAGUACACAUCUCAAGGGAAGGUUUCUCAAGAUUCAGCAGACACCUGCUUCACACCACACCUCACCACUCGCUUCAUGUCAACUGAGGGUUCUUUUUUUUUUGAGACAGUUGUCGCCCACGCUGGAGGGCGGUGGCACAAUCUCGGCUCACUGCAACCUCCGCCUCCUGGUUUAAGCGAUUCUCCCACCUCAGCCUCCCGAGUAGCUGGGAUUACAGGCAUGCGCUACCAGUCCCAGCUAAUUUUUGUAUUUUUAGUAGAGACGGGGUUUCUCCAUGUUGGCCAGGCUGGUCUCGAACUCCUGGCCUCAAGUGACCUGCCUGCCUUGGCCUCCCAGUGUUGGGAUUAUAGAUGUGAGCCACCACGCCUGGCCCACUGAGGGUUGUAAUCUGCAUCCGUCACCACUGUGGUUUCUGCAAUAGCAAUUUCCUGUUCCCAAAAUUCCUUCUACAUUAGAAUUAAUAAGACAGACCUGGCCCUCCCCUCAUUGAUACCCAAUUACUUAUUUUGUAUAGACUAGUGGAUACCAAUUUAUUCUGUGAGCUACAGCCCAUUACAAUAAUUAAUUUUCUUUUUUUUUUUUUUUUUGAGACAAGGUCCUGCUUUGUUGCCCAGGCUGCAGAGCAGUGGUAUAAUCGUGGCUCACUGCAGACUUAACCUCUGGCUCACGUGAUCCUCCCACCUCAGCCUCCCGAGUAUCUGGGACUACAGGCGGGUGACACCACACACAGCUGAUUUUUCUUAUGUUUUGUAGAGACAGGUUUCACCAUGGUACCCAGGCUGGUCUCGAACUCCUGGCCUCAAGCGAUCCUCCCACCUUGGCCUCCUACAGUGCAGGGAUUGCAGGUGUGAGCCACUGCGCCCAGCCUGUUUAUUUUCAUGCUGAACUCCUGGCCUCAAGUGAUCCUCCCACCUCGGCCUCGCAGCGUGCUGGAAUUGCAGACGAGCUGCCGGGCCCGGCCUGUUUAUUUUCAUGCUCAAAUUGCCCCAGGUUGGCCAUCGUGUGCUCCUUCCUAUCCCCCAGUGUUAUUUCAAUAAGCCCCUUCAUCUCAGCAAUUCUUCACUCUCUGGCUUAUCCAAUACCUUCUCUGGCCUGGCCCUGGUUCCUUUGGUUAGAGAAUGGUAUCAGGGCCAAGACCCUGAGUGUGGGGGGCGCUGCGUUCAGGCCUUCAGGGCAGAGCUGGGAAGCAUUUGUGCACAGCCCCUCACAAUAGUCCCCUUUACACACAGUUUCAGUUACCCAUGGUCAGCCACGCUCCAAAAAUACUAAGUGGAAAAUUCCAGAAAUAAACCAUUCAUGAGUUUUCAAUUCCAUGCUGUUCUGAGCAGCUGUCCUGCCGGGACGUGAACCCUCCCUCUGUCCAGCAUUCCAGGCUGUCCACGCCACCCUGCCUGCCAGGCACUCAGUAGCCAUCUCGGUGAUCAGACCUACCGUCACGGUGAUGCGGCGCCUGGGUCCAAGAAGCCUUUAUUUUACUUAAUAAUGGCCCCAAAGCACAAGAGUGGUGAUGCAGGCGACUCAGACAUACCAGAGAAGCUGCCAAGUGCUUCCUUUAAGGGA